GUUUUAAAGAGCGUGGGUCGGUUAUAUUUUAAAAAAUCAGGUAUGCCAAGGCAUAAUCUCCAUACAGUAAAAUCCACCCACUCCAGGGAUGGAAUUAUAGCCAGGCCUCUGCUGCCCAUCUGGACAGCCUUUCCCCGCCUCCCCGGAAGUUAGAUGUGAGCAAGUGAUGUGGCUGUCAUCAUGGAACGUGAGCAGAGCUGACGUGGAGCAUCCACAGGCCUGGGGGGACGUGGCGGCGAGUCCUCCGUACUCUUUCUCCUUCCUGAUGGCUGGAAUCUGCACUCACAGCCACCCAGUAUCAACCAGUGACUGUGAUGGUACUGCCGAGGCGGGGGCACACAGGGCAAGGAGAGGCGCCCACCUCUUGCGCCACCCAUGUUGACAAUGUGGUGUAAGAGAGAAAUACAACCCUUUGUCUGCCUGGCCACGUGUUGCUGCCUCGCUUUGUUACAGCACUUUUCUCUGUUAUGGUAUGCUUCCUUCUAAUUGUCCUGCUCUGAGGUGUUCUUUUCCUCACAUUCCAUGGUCCUCUCUCAGAUCAGGGAGUCCGGGUUCACUAUCUAAUUCCACAACAGUAUUUAUUAAAAGUGA
ensembl:lncRNA